rnacentral:rRNA from 1 species
AUGGCAGCGGCGAACGGGUGAGUAACGCGUUGGGAUCUGCCCCGAACUCAGGGAUAACAUCGAGAAAUCGGUGCUAAUACCGGAUAGUCUCGCAAGAGUAAAGAUUUUUCGGUUCGGGAGGAACCUGCGUCCUAUUAGCUAGUUGGUAAGGUAAUGGCUUACCAAGGCGAUGAUGGGUAGCUGGUCUGAGAGGAUGAUCAGCCACAAUGGGACUGAGACACGGCCCAUACUCC